CACGGCCGCCGCCCCCGCCGGGAAGGCCGGAGGGCCCGAGGCUGCGGGCCGGGGUCGGCGCCGCGGCUUCCCGACCUGGGCACCUGGGCCUAGCCGGCGUCUCCGGGGCACGACCGCGCAUCGCGGGGUGGCGACGUUGCAAACCGAGACCCUCGUUCUCCGAACCGGGCGUGCUCACAGCGGCGGAAACCGAGCCCCGAGGUCACCCAGAGUUCAAGGUCAAGCCCAGAACUGCCCGUGCCGAGUGGAAGGGCUCCCUCCGCCCCCACCUUACUUACUGCCGGGAAGACCUAGAUUUAAAACAGGAGGAAGACGGGUGAUGAGAACCACAUGUGCGCCUUGGAGCUGGGCGACACCUGUUAGUCUUAACAUUUGUCGCGCUUCUGGGAAGCGUUUUUAUUUGCAGAAACGGCUGCUGCUUCUGCACGCGGCUGUGGUUGCUUGCUGCUGCACACGUGAAAAGUUUUCAUCGCACUUGCAGGAGAAAAUAAACAUUGGCAAAAUACUUCUGAUUUACUCACUGUCUCUCCUAGAAUGUGGUGCUUUGUGUACAUGGUCCAAGUUGGAAACUGGCCCAUGCGGAGAUAAUUUUUAUCUCACUUCAGAUAAGCAAAACAAACAAGCCCUUCCCCAGGUAUAUUCUGUUUCUACCGCUCAAACUCUAACUCAGCUGUACAAUUUUUUUAAGAUCAAGGAUUACAUAGAAAUAGGCAAUUUAUUUUGCACAGAUCAAGUUAUUUUAAGAAAAAUUUGGAAAGUACUCAACUUACCUGGUUUUUUUUUUAAAUUAAGAAGCAUUAGCGUGACUGAGUUCCCCAAGGGCACUGGCUGGUUUCAGUUUCCCCAGUAGAUACAAAAGUACUUAUUAAUAUUUAUGGAAUGAGUGAGUGAAUGUUUCAUCAAACACUUCUUAGAUGUAUACACACACCCAGACAUAUGUAUGCAUUUAAGUUUCCACAGAUCUGGUAUACUGUGGGCCUCAACAUAUAGUUCUUGAAUGAAUGAAAUAUAAAAUGUAACAAAUGCUGUAUACACAGGUGGAUACACACAUACAUAGAUACAUAUAUAGUUUUAUUCCACAUUUACUGUAUAUAAAAGGGAGCUUGUAAGGAUAAAGGUCAAAUCAGAUAGCCUCCGAACAGUAGUCUGGAAAUGUUGGCAGCUUCUCUUAGGUCCAGGGUAGAUACUGCAGUUCACCUAGAAGACCUUCUACUUUGAGAAGAAGAUACUUGAAAUGGUUCCUGUCAAGUUAAGCAAAGGUGGGCUGUGAGGCAAAUUCUCUUGUAUUAGGUACAGACAGCAACAGCCCCACUGUCCUGAAAGGACAAGAUCUCUUCUGCUUGGGAUGCCCUUGCUAAAGCAGCCUCAAUUCUUAGACUGGGGCUCCCAGGGAGAAAGGGAGAGGAAGAGGCUCUGAGUCCAUGACUUGCCAGGGAAGUUAGUUUCAGGAAGCCAAGUGGAGAGCAUCUUCAGCCAAGCUUGACAGUGAAGGAGUGGGAUCUUGACUAAAUGCUGUGGCCCAAGCAGGAACGUGGAUAUGCAAGAGCCUUUUAGAGGAAGCUGUGAGCAGGCUGGUUAACACAACUGUACGGGAUCUGUCUUCAACAGCGACACCACAUGGUGGCAAGGAGCAACAGCAGGAACACUCUCACCAGACUUAGUUCAGAAGCCAGCCCCUGGGAUACAGGCCAUUUAAAGGAGACAAAGUUACUGAACCUACCUACCCUAAUAAGGGAUGUGGGGGCUCCAAUGAUUAGUUAAAAAAAAAAAAAAU